AUUGAACGCUGGCGGCAGGCCUAACACAUGCAAGUCGAGCGGAUGAGGGGUGCUUGCACCCCGAUUCAGCGGCGGACGGGUGAGUAAUGCCUAGGAAUCUGCCCGAUAGUGGGGGACAACGUUUCGAAAGGAACGCUAAUACCGCAUACGUCCUACGGGAGAAAGUGGGGGCUCUUCGGACCUCACGCUAUCGGAUGAGCCUAGGUCGGAUUAGCUAGUUGGUGGGGUAAAGGCUCACCAAGGCGACGAUCCGUAACUGGUCUGAGAGGAUGAUCAGUCACACUGGAACUGAGAAACGGUCCAGACUCCUACGGGAGGCAGCAGUGGGGAAUAUUGGACAAGGGGCGAGAGCCUGAUCCAGCCAUGCCGCGUGUGUGAAGAAGGUCGUCGGAUUGUAAAGCACUUUAAGUCGGGAGGAAGGGCUGUAGGUUAAUACCUUGCAGCCUUGACGUUACCGACAGAAUAAGCACCGGCUAACUUCGUGCCAGCAGCCGCCGUAACAC
rnacentral:rRNA from 1 species